CAUGCCGCGUGCUUACCAUGCAAGUCGAACGGAGAUUCAGCAAUGGAUCUUAGUGGCGAACGGGUGAGUAACGCGUAGGCAAUCUGCCUUCUAGAUGGGGACAACAUCCCGAAAGGGGUGCUAAUACCGAAUGUUGUACCGUUUCCGCAUGGAGAUGAUACUAAAGGUGGCCUCUGAAUAUGCUACCGCUAGAAGAUGAGCCUGCGUCUGAUUAGCUAGUUGGAGGGGUAACGGCCCACCAAGGCUUCGAUCAGUAGCCGGUCUGAGAGGAUGAACGGCCACACUGGGACUGAGACACGGCCCAGACUCCUACGGGAGGCAGCAGUGGGGAAUCUUCCGCAAUGGACGAAAGUCUGACGGAGCAACGCCGCGUGAGUGAAGAAGGUUUUCGGAUCGUAAAGCUCUUUCGUUAGGGACGAACGUGCUCUUUGUGAAUAAUGAGGAGUAAUGACGGUACCUAAAUAAGAAGCCACGGCUAACUACGUGCCAGCAGCCGCGGUAAUACGUAGGUGGCAAGCGUUGUCCGGAAUUAUUGGGCGUAAAGCGCGCGCAGGCGGGAUAUCAAGUCUGUCUUAAAAGUGCGAGGCUCAACCUCGUGAGGGGACGGAAACUGGUAUUCUUGAGUGUCGGAGAGGAAAGUGGAAUUCCAAGUGUAGCGGUGAAAUGCGUAGAGAUUUGGAAGAACACCAGUGGCGAAGGCGACUUUCUGGACGAUGUCUGACGCUGAGGCGCGAAAGCUAGGGGAGCGAACGGGAUUAGAUACCCCGGUAGUCCUAGCCGUAAACGAUGGGUACUAGUGUAGGGGGUAUCGACCCCUCCU
rnacentral:rRNA from 1 species